rnacentral:lncRNA from 1 species
CAAAAAGGGCCCCGAAAGGAUCCAGCAAACACAAAGGAGGAAUCUGUGGUUCUGGGAGGAAAGAUACUCUCCUGGACCCGCACAACUAUAUCAGAGAGAAGUCUCUACAGGUGAUGAUUAGAACAGAGGUGCCAAGAAUUAAGGGAUGACAAACCUCACUGGAGAGGGUGGGACAAGAGACAAAGAUGCCCAGUUUUUACCGAGGCCUUCUUCCCCAGCCAGGCCUGCUGAGGUUUCAGGGAGAGUGGUCAGAGGACAGGAACACAAGCAGAGAGAACGCCAAGGAAAACAGUAUGGCUCAUCACCCUCAGUCUCCACUGCCAGCCCCCGACUCCUGCACCAGCACAUCUUCCCACAGCAGAGAAGGGGGAGCAAAGUCAUUGACAUUGGACUAAUGGUUCGCAGAGCCAGGCCCUGUCAAGACCUGGCAUGAAACUCCACCCAGGUCCCGUCCCACAAGGACCUCAAGGACCAACUGAAUGGGCACCAAAGCCUGCCCACUGUGGCAAGUGCCCCCAAGAAGAGGCAAUUCCGCCCACAUAAUCCCCACACAAGGGAGGGACUGACUGCCUGACGUCUUCAUCUUUUCACCACCAUUGUUUAAAAUGGUUCCGAGGGUGAACUUCGCCAGACAGAAGACAAUCCAUAUGAUGUGACAGCUUGUAAAACUCACAAUAGCCAGCUUGUAUUUUAACCAUGUAAACGCACCUUUGAUUUCUCCUUUAAAAAACAAACAAUUUGCUGUGAAUCAAAGACCGUGAGGUGAAAAACAGGGUGUUAAAAGAAAAAAAAAAAAAAAUAAGACUACAAAACAAAACAGAUUGCCCAGAACCACUCCAACUGAGAAAGGCAGAGUGCCAGGCUGGCACUCUGUAGCUACGAGCAUCCCACAGCCCUCCUCGAUAUCUGCCAUCCAACUGGCCAGAAGCAAAAUACGUAAGCUCCUUCUUUUUAGCACUUUAGUAGAUAUCACUGUAUUUUGAAGGGUUUUUUAAAUAUUUCUGAAAAGGAGCUAUGAGGAAUACAUGCCAAAGGACAGAAUGGCUAAAUGAUGGGGUGAGGUGGGAGAAGACCAAGUUUAGCCAUGAGUUCCCAAAGGUUAUCCUUCUAGAACCAGCUCUUGCAAGAAUGAUUGCAGCAGCAUGAGCCGUGGCUACCCAGGCUCUGGGAGACGUGCUUUGCCCUCUUGGCUUCAUUGGUCCUCUCCAACUUUUUAUGGUAGACACCAAACCUUUGGUAGAAGGUAGACAGAAAUGGCAGACACAUCCCCGAACGCAGAAGUUAAGUGCAAAGGUACAGUCACCUAACAUAAGAACAUUCACACCCUGGAACCAGUUCCCGAGCCCCUAUUCCCACAGGGUGAUGGGGAGAGAACCUGGUGACACCUGCACACACAGCAGAACUGCACGACAGCUGAGGUCCCCUGAACUUCGGGAACCUGAUUACUUCCUAACGGACGUCAUAUACGCCCAUCCCUUUGCUCUAUCGCCAUACGGCUGGGAAACGGAAUGUGGAUGAGAGGUGAGAGAUAAGCCAGAACCCUAUAAUGGAGUUUGGCUUUAAUCCUGUCUACAUUAGGAGCUAUUUAAGCACCUAGACACGAUCCAAUUUACCACUGAUUCCCGUUCGCUGCAGUAGAGCUGGAGAAUGGGCUGUUGGGGAAGGAAGGGAGUAUUACAGUCCUGCAAGUAAGAAAUGCUAAUGACCUGAACCAAGUUAGGGACAGAUGGUGCAGAGAGGCAGAGAGCACACUGAUCAAGUUAAGACUGAGCAGGUAGCACUGCUGACAGCACUGUGCACUCAACCGACUGGUAAGCUAACACGUCAGCCUACCACGGUUUCACAAGAUGCUGGCAGGACACGUGCAAUUCCUGGGUCAGAGACAAAUGCCCAUGGACUACUCACCCCAAUACAGUGGCCACAGAGAAUCAGCAUCUGCAUCCGUUCCCUGGGCAACAAUUCCCACAGGACACUGCAAAGAGAGUGUGCACCGUGAACUGCACUACAAGAGACGACCCUUGACCUUGGGGAGCCCAAAUACUUUUGUUCCGGGCACCUCUCUUCCAAGGCUCUUCACUCUUACAAACAUCCUGGCAGAGAUAGUCCAGAACAAAGGCAGUCGGUACCGCAGCUUGCAAGACAUACCAAAACAUGAGAUUUAUGGAGAACUAUUUUCCAGCAUUCUCACUUUCCCGAUGAGGAAACUAAGAUACAAAACGCUUAUGGGUCAGAGAACAUAGCUGGAAGCUAACAGAAAUCAGAUUGAAACCCAGAUCUUAUGACACCAAGUCCCACUGUCCUCCAAUAUUCAAAAUUUUAUUAUAUAAAACAGGGGGACGCUUGCGGGGAAGGGGAACGGAAGGAUAAUUAAGUCACCCAGGCUUUCCUGGAGGUUGUCAGCUCACCUGGGAAGGGAACAGGAACAGUCUAGGGACUGCCUAGCUAUCAGAAGAGAGAGUCUCAUUGGGUCCUAUGUCUUACAACUCCAAUGAUAGAACAGACUAGGCUGCUAUAGAAGGUAACGUGGGGUAUCUCUACUUGGUGGGAGACAAGUUCUACUCCCCAAGUCUUUUAUUUAGCCCCUGCCUAAAUCCAGCCUGCAAAAUUUUAAGUUUUACUUGAGAAUGCAUUCAGAAUGGUGAAAAUGUUUGUACGUUAAUACGCUUUAUUUCUUAAAAUUAUUUGCAGAGGUAUGCUAUGAAAUAUCUUGCCAUGUAAAAAUGAUCUCUCUUGGAGUUCCCGUCGUGGUGCAGUGGUUAAUGAAUCCAACUAAGAACCACAAGGUUUUGGGUUUGAUCCCUGGCCUUGCUCAGUGGGUUAAAGAUCCAGCGUUGCCGUGAGCAGUGGUAUAGGUCACAGACACAGCUCGGAUCCUGCGUCGCUGUGGCUCUGGUGUAGGCUGGCGGCUACAGCUCUGAUUAGACCCCUAGCCUGGGAACCUCUAUAUGCUGAGGGAACGGCCCUAGAAAUGGCAAAAAGACAAAAAAAAAAAAAAAAAUCUCUCUUCAUCUGUACAUUUAAACCAGCUAAUACUUUGCAUGUGUAAUUAAAACAAAGCAAAGUAACUCCAUUAAGAAACUGAAAAGAAUUUGGUGGGCGGCCUCCUCAUUUUAAUAACAAAUAUACUGGAUUCAAGAAUUAAAGGGAACGGCAGACAGUGACUUGAUAAAUGGGGUUAAUUAUUUUGAACAUGAGUAAUGGAGCUUAUUCAUUUACUAACACAAGUGAACACUGGCUUGCUUGGCUUCAAGGGGACAAUAACAGAGGGCCAGCAUCUUCAGGUCUCUUGCUG